GAUGAACGCUGGCGGCGUGCCUAAUACAUGCAAGUCGAGCGAACAGACGAGGAGCUUGCUCCUCUGACGUUAGCGGCGGACGGGUGAGUAACACGUGGAUAACCUACCUAUAAGACUGGGAUAACUUCGGGAAACCGGAGCUAAUACCGGAUAAUAUAUUGAACCGCAUGGUUCAAUAGUGAAAGACGGUUUUGCUGUCACUUAUAGAUGGAUCCGCGCCGCAUUAGCUAGUUGGUAAGGUAACGGCUUACCAAGGCAACGAUGCGUAGCCGACCUGAGAGGGUGAUCGGCCACACUGGAACUGAGACACGGUCCAGACUCCUACGGGAGGCAGCAGUAGGGAAUCUUCCGCAAUGGGCGAAAGCCUGACGGAGCAACGCCGCGUGAAUGAUGAAGGUCUUCGGAUCGUAAAACUCUGUUAUUAGGGAAGAACAAAUGUGUAAGUAACUAUGUACGUCUUGACGGUACCUAAUCAGAAAGCCACGGCUAACUACGUG
rnacentral:rRNA from 1 species